AGAGUUUGAUCCUGGCUCAGAAGAAAUGCUAGUUAUAUGCUUAACACAUGCAAGUUGAACGUUGUUUUCGGGGAGCUGGGCAGAAGGAAAAGAGGCUCCUAGCUAAAGGUAGCUUGUAUCACCCAGGAGGUGAGAAGAGUUGAGAACAAAGUGGUGAACGAGUGCGUAACAUGUGGGAAUCUACCGAACAAUUCGGUCCAAAUCCUGAAGAAAGAUAAAACGUACUGUUUGAUGAGCCUACGUAGUAUUAGGUAGUUGGUCAGGUAAAGGCUGACCAAGCCAAUGAUGGGGGAAGCAGUGGGGAAUCUUGGACAAUGGGUGAAAUCCCGAUCCAGCAAUAUCACGUGAGUGACGAAGGGAAAUGCCGCUUGUAAAGCUCUUUUGUCGAGUGCGUGAUCAUGACAAGACUCGAGGAAGAAGCCCCGACUAACUCCGUUCCAGCAGCCAUGGUAAGACGGGGGAGGGAGGGGGGCAAGUGUUCUUCGGAAUGAUUGGGCGGAAAAGGGAACGUAGGCAGUGAAUCAGGUUGAAAGUGAAAGCCGCCAAAAACUAGAGGAAUGCUCUCGAAACCAAUUCACUUGAGUGAGAUAGAGAAGAGGGGAAUUUCAUGUGUAGGGGUGAAAUCAGGAGAUCUACGAAGGAAUGCUAAAAGCGAAGGCAUCUCUAUGGGUCCCUACCGACGCUGAGGUAUGAAAGCAUGGGGAGCGAACAUGAUUAAAUACCCUGGUAGUCCGUGCCGUAAAUGAUGAGUGUUCUCCCUUGGUCUACGUAGAUCAGAGGCCCAACUAACGCGUGAAAUACUCCUCCUGGGGAGUACGGUCUCAAGAUCGAAACUCAAAGGAAUUGACGGGAGCCUGCACAAGUGGUGGAGCAUGUGUUUUAAUUCGAUACAAUGCGCAAAAUCUUACUAUCCCUUGACAUAUGAACAAGAAAACUUGUCCUUAACAGGAUGGUACUGACUUUCAUACAGGUGCUGCAUGGCUAUUGUCAGCUCAUGUCGUGAGAUGUUUGGUCAAGUCCUAUAACGAGUGAAACCUUCAUUUUGUGUUGCUGAGACACGCGCCUAAGGAGAAUUUCUUUUCAACUUAAGUGAGCCGAGUGACGUGCCAGUGCUACUAAUUGAGUUCCAGCACCUAGCUAUGCUGUCAGUAAGAAGGUAGCCGGCGCCUUUCGAAGCACUUUCUAUUUCUAGAUAGAAAGGGCCUUUCUAACUUGUUUAGUAAAGGCAUGUUUUUCGCCUUAUCUUGCAGGUGACGAUGACAUUGAGUUAACGGCAGAGAAAGACUCGACAUUCAGGCGAGACACCCGGUGGUGUGGUACGUAGUGGGUUUAGUACGACCCGCCCAAACAAACGGCUCUAAAACAAACAAAAAGGUGUGUGCCGCACUCACGAAGGACUGCCAAUGAUAUACUGGAGGAAGGUGGGGAUGACGUCAAGUCCAUAUGGCCCUUAUGGGCUGGGCCACAGACGUGCUACAAUGGCAAUUACAAUGGGAAACAAGGCUGUAAGGCGGAGCGAAUCCGAAAAGAUUGCCUCAGUUCGGAUUUUUCUCUGCAACUCGUGAACAUGAAGUUGGAAUCGCUAGUAAUCUCGGAUCAGCAUGACAAGGUGAAUAUGUACCCGGGCCUUGUACACGCCGCCCGUCACACCCUGGGAAUUGGUUUCACCUGAAGCAUCAGACCAAUGAUCACCCAUGACUUCUGUGGCACACUAGUUCCCCAAAGGCCUUUGGUGGUCUUAUUGGCGCAUACCACAGUAGGGGUCUUCGAUUGGGGUGAAGAUGUAACAAGGUAGCCGUAGGGGAACCUGUGGCUG
rnacentral:rRNA from 1 species